rnacentral:lncRNA from 1 species
GAGGCUAAGAGCCAUGUGCAUACUGCAAAGAGCAAGAGGAGGAUUCUUGUCUCUCCAGCCAGCUGAUACUCAGGUACAGUGACUGGUACUUGUCUGAAGCUUUGAGACCGAAGUAGGAGAAACAAAUCUAAAUCUGCUACAAAUAAUGCGAU